rnacentral:rRNA from 1 species
GACGAACGCUGGCGGCGUGCUUAACACAUGCAAGUCGAGCGGUAAGGCCCUUUCGGGGGUACGACGAGCGGCGAACGGGUGAGUAACACGUGGGUGACCUGCCCUCAGCUCUGGGAGUAAGCCUGGGAAACCGGGUCUAAUACUGGAUAUGACUCCAUGACGCAUGUUGUGGGGUGGAAAGCCUUGUGCGGCUGAGGAUGGGCCCGCGGCCUAUCAGCUUGUUGGUGGGGUGAGGCCUACCAAGGCGACGACGGGUAGCCGGCCUGAGAGGGCGACCGGCCACACUGGGACUGAGACACGGCCCAGACUCCUACGGGAGGGCAGCAGUGGGGAAUCUUGCGCAAUGGGCGAAAGCCUGACGCAGCGACCGCCGCGUGAGGGA